rnacentral:rRNA from 1 species
CCUACGGGAGGCAGCAGUGAGGAAUAUUGGUCAAUGGCCGGAAGGCUGAACCAGCCAUGCCGCGUGAAGGUCAGUGCCCUAUGGGCGUUAAACUUCUUUUGUGCGGGAGCAAUAAUGGUCACGUGUGGCCAGACGAGAGUACCGUACGAAUAAGCAUCGGCUAACUCCGUGCCAGCAGCCGCGGUAAUACGGGGGAUGCAAGCGUUAUCCGGAUUUAUUGGGUUUAAAGGUUGCGUAGGCUGGGAGGUAAGUCAGCGGUGAAAUGCCCCCGCUCAACGGGGUGAAGUGCCAUUGAUACUGCCUGGCUGGAAUGCGGAUGCGGUGGGAGGAAUGUGUGGUGUAGCGGUGAAAUGCAUAGAUAUCACACAGAACACCGAUUGCGAAGGCAUCUCACGAAUCCGCGAUUGACGCUGAUGCACGAAAGCGUGGGUAUCAAACAGGAUUAGAUACCCUUGUAGUC